rnacentral:rRNA from 1 species
AUUGAACGCUGGCGGCAGGCCUAACACAUGCAAGUCGAACGGUAACAGGAAGAAGCUUGCUUCUUUGCUGACGAGUGGCGGACGGGUGAGUAAUGUCUGUGAAACUGCCUGAUGGAGGGGGAUAACUACUGGAAACGGUAGCUAAUACCGCAUAACGUCGCAAGCCCAAAGAGGGGGACCUUCGGGCCUCUUGCCAUCGGCUGUGCCCAGAUGGGAUUAGCUAGUAGGUGGGGUAACGGCUCACCUAGGCGACGAUCCCUAGCUGGUCUGAGAGGAUGACCAGCCACACUGGAACUGAGACACGGUCCAGACUCCUACGGGAGGCAGCAGUGGGGAAUGUUGCACAAUGGGCGCAAGCCUGAUGCAGCCAUGCCGCGUGUAUGAAGAAGGCCUUCGGGUUGUAAAGUACUUUCAGCGGGGAGGAAGGGAGUAAAGUGAAUACCUUUGCUCAUUGACGUUACCCGCAGAAGAAGCACCGGCUAACUCCGUG